rnacentral:rRNA from 1 species
UACAGAGGUCCCAAGCGUUGUUCGGAUUCAUUGGGCGUAAAGGGUGCGUAGGCGGCGCGGUAAGUCGGGUGUGAAAUCUCCGGGCUUAACCCGGAAACUGCAUUGAAUACUAUUCUGCUCGAGGGUUGGAAGGGGGACUGGAAUACUUGGUGUAGCAGUGAAAUGCGUAGAUAUCAAGUGGAACACCAGUGGCGAAGGCGAGUCCCUGGACAACUCCUGACACUGAGGCACGAAAGCUAGGGGAGCAAACAGG